rfam:Colletotrichum fioriniae PJ7 Scaffold_129.1, whole genome shotgun sequence.
AGCUCUUCUUUGCCUUUUGGCUUAGAUCAAGUGUAGUAUCUGUUCUUUUCAGUUUAAUCUCUGAAAGAUGCCUAUUGGCAUCACAUUGAUUAUUCCUAUUUUUGAUCUCUCGGAGAUGGACCUCUGCGGCUUGCCGUAUGCCCUCUCCACCGUGUCCCUGGUAUUUCACUGCCUCCAGGCGACGCAAAUUCUU